rnacentral:rRNA from 1 species
GACGAACGCUGGCGGCGCGCUUAACACAUGCAAGUCGAACGGAAAGGCCUGCUUUCCCUUGUGGAUUGCGGGUACUCGAGUGGCGAACGGGUGAGUAACACGUGAGUGAUCUGCCCCCAACUUGGGUAUAAGCCUGGGAAACUGGGUCUAAUUCCCGAUAGGACUGCAGGGUGGUGCCUGUGGUGGAAAACGAUUUUCUAGUGGUUGGGGAUGAGCUCGCGGCCUAUCAGCUUGUUGGUGGGGUAAUGGCCUACCAAGGCGGCGACGGGUAGCCGGCCUGAGGAGGUGGACGGCCACAUUGGGACUGAGAUACGGCCCAGACUCCUACGGGAGGCAGCAGUGGGGAAUAUUGCACAAUGGGCGGAAGCCUGAUGCAGCGACGCCGCGUGGGGGAUGACGGCCUUCGGGUUGUAAACUCCUUUCGACCGCGAGGAAGCCACCUGGUUGGAAGGGUGGUGACGGUAGUGGUAGAAGAAGCACCGGCUAACUACGUG